UACAGAGGGUGCGAGCGUUAAUCGGAAUUACUGGGCGUAAAGCGCGCGUAGACGGUUUUGUAAGUCAGAUGUGAAAUCCCUGGGCUCAACCUGGGAACUGCAUUUGAUACUGCAUGGCUAGAGUAUGGAAGAGGGAAGUGGAAUUUCCGGUGUAGCGGUGAAAUGCGUAGAUAUCGGGAGGAACACCAGUGGCGAAGGCGAUUACCUGGGGUUGAUCUGACGCUGAGGAGCGAAAGCUAGGGGAGCAAACGGG
rnacentral:rRNA from 1 species